CCUACGGGAGGCAGCAGUGAGGAAUAUUGGUCAAUGGCCGGGAGGCUGAACCAGCCAAGUCGCGUGAGUGAAGACGGCCCUACGGGUUGUAAACCUCUUUUGUCAGGGAGCAAGGUGCAGGUCGGGACCUGCUGUGAGAGUACCUUACGAACAAGCAUCGGCUAACUCCGGGCCAGCAGCCGCGGUAAUACGGGGGAUGCGAGCGUUAUCCGGAUUUAUUGGGGUUAACGGGUGCGCAGGCGGAGGCACAAGUCAGCGGUAAAAUCGCGGGGCAAAACCCGGCUCCGCCGUUGAAACUGUGUGCCUUGAGUGCGCGAAGGGUAGGCGGAAUGCGUGGUGUAGCGGUGAAAUGCAUAGAGAUCACGCAGAACUCCGAUCGCGAAGGCAGCCUACCGGCG
rnacentral:rRNA from 1 species